rnacentral:tRNA from 1 species
GUCCUGGGCAGGGAAUCGAACCCCGGUCGCCCGCGCGACAGGCGGGAAUACUAACCACUAUACUACCGAGGA